UACCGAGGUCUCAAGCGUUGUUCGGAUUCAUUGGGCGUAAAGGGUGCGUAGGUGGCAUGGUAAGUCGGAUGUGAAAUCCCGGGGCUCAACCCCGGAACUGCAUUCGAUACUGCUGCGCUAGAGUACUGGAGAGGAGAUUGGAAUUUACGGUGUAGCAGUGAAAUGCGUAGAUAUCGUAAGGAAGACCAGUGGCGAAGGCGGAUCUCUGGACAGUUACUGACACUGAGGCACGAAGGCCAGGGGAGCAAACGGG
rnacentral:rRNA from 1 species